AGAGUUUGAUCCUGGCUCAGGACGAACGCUGGCGGCGUGCCUAAUACAUGCAAGUCGUACGCUUCUUUUUCCACCGGAGCUUGCUCCACCGGAAAAAGAAGAGUGGCGAACGGGUGAGUAACACGUGGGUAACCUGCCCAUCAGAAGGGGAUAACACUUGGAAACAGGUGCUAAUACCGUAUAACAAUCGAAACCGCAUGGUUUUGAUUUGAAAGGCGCUUUCGGGUGUCGCUGAUGGAUGGACCCGCGGUGCAUUAGCUAGUUGGUGAGGUAACGGCUCACCAAGGCUACGAUGCAUAGCCGACCUGAGAGGGUGAUCGGCCACAUUGGGACUGAGACACGGCCCAAACUCCUACGGGAGGCAGCAGUAGGGAAUCUUCGGCAAUGGACGAAAGUCUGACCGAGCAACGCCGCGUGAGUGAAGAAGGUUUUCGGAUCGUAAAACUCUGUUGUUAGAGAAGAACAAGGAUGAGAGUAACUGUUCAUCCCUUGACGGUAUCUAACCAGAAAGCCACGGCUAACUACGUGCCAGCAGCCGCGGUAAUACGUAGGUGGCAAGCGUUGUCCGGAUUUAUUGGGCGUAAAGCGAGCGCAGGCGGUUUCUUAAGUCUGAUGUGAAAGCCCCCGGCUCAACCGGGGAGGGUCAUUGGAAACUGGGAGACUUGAGUGCAGAAGAGGAGAGUGGAAUUCCAUGUGUAGCGGUGAAAUGCGUAGAUAUAUGGAGGAACACCAGUGGCGAAGGCGGCUCUCUGGUCUGUAACUGACGCUGAGGCUCGAAAGCGUGGGGAGCAAACAGGAUUAGAUACCCUGGUAGUCCACGCCGUAAACGAUGAGUGCUAAGUGUUGGAGGGUUUCCGCCCUUCAGUGCUGCAGCUAACGCAUUAAGCACUCCGCCUGGGGAGUACGACCGCAAGGUUGAAACUCAAAGGAAUUGACGGGGGCCCGCACAAGCGGUGGAGCAUGUGGUUUAAUUCGAAGCAACGCGAAGAACCUUACCAGGUCUUGACAUCCUUUGACCACUCUAGAGAUAGAGCUUCCCCUUCGGGGGCAAAGUGACAGGUGGUGCAUGGUUGUCGUCAGCUCGUGUCGUGAGAUGUUGGGUUAAGUCCCGCAACGAGCGCAACCCUUAUUGUUAGUUGCCAUCAUUCAGUUGGGCACUCUAGCAAGACUGCCGGUGACAAACCGGAGGAAGGUGGGGAUGACGUCAAAUCAUCAUGCCCCUUAUGACCUGGGCUACACACGUGCUACAAUGGGAAGUACAACGAGUCGCGAAGUCGCGAGGCUAAGCUAAUCUCUUAAAGCUUCUCUCAGUUCGGAUUGUAGGCUGCAACUCGCCUACAUGAAGCCGGAAUCGCUAGUAAUCGCGGAUCAGCACGCCGCGGUGAAUACGUUCCCGGGCCUUGUACACACCGCCCGUCACACCACGAGAGUUUGUAACACCCGAAGUCGGUGAGGUAACCUUUUGGAGCCAGCCGCCUAAGGUGGGAUAGAUGAUUGGGGUGAAGUCGUAACAAGGUAGCCGUAG
rnacentral:rRNA from 1 species